UUACACAAGUAAAAAUAUGUGGUUACAAAUUCCACGGCUCUCCUGGCCUUGUAGUGGAUUCGUAUUUUCAGAGUCCAGUGGGAUUACAGUGUUUUGUUGGUUAAACUCUGCCAAAGGCCUGGGAGAGUGUAACAGCCACAUUAUUUCAAUGGCUUCCUUUCUGAAAUGAUCACUGUUGCAGACCAAGAACAGGGAGCAGGAUUCUCAGAAAUGCAGCACAGAGGACUUCUCUAGAAUUCAUGGAACACUGUUUUUAAUGCCAGCAAUUAGCUGUCUAGAAGAUGAGAACAAGCCCUUGUAGUCAAAUGGAACAUUCUUGGAAAGCUGAAGUCCACUCUUUUCUGAAGGUCUGGACUGUUUCUGGGUUUCUUCCUUCUUGUGCUGUUAUAGACUGUGUCUGGCCACCAUCCACAUUGUCCUUUAAGUAUGUCUGCUCUUUACGUAUUAGAAGCUGACUUCCAUGGUUCCCACGUUUCACCCGGGCAGCUCACUUAUGGCCUGAGCGCCUGCAAAGCAGAGACCUAAGUCAUACUCAGUAUUGGCUAAUAAGAAACUGCUUCAGACUGAAGCACAAGAGGAGGGUGUAGUUGUCUCUUCUCAUUAAAUUUGUAUAAGGAACAAACACAAGGUUUGCGUAGGAAAAUUCAAAUAAAUUUUUAUUUAUUUAGGUUUUUUUUUAUGCUUCAGACACUGCAGGGGUCACAGUUGCUCCUGGUCAUUUUGUUCUUGAGUACAGUGAGUAUUUUGAAGACCAGAUGAUUUAAUUUAGUUGGUUUAACGCACAGUUUCAACUUUCGCCUUUCCUUUGAAAGUGUGUUUCAUGACAGCGUCUGCAGAAGCCUGUUUUCAUUACCCAGUAUCCUUCAGCCUUAGAUCUGUAUCAGCUUUCCCCGUUGCUCAUAAUCCAUUACAGAAAGUAGUGUAGCUUUCUGCAGCAUGGCCAAAACUCCAUGAUAUGUUUGUAAUUUUCCAUAAGAUUUGUAUAGUAUAAAGUAAAAAUGUUUGCUUUAAGAGACAUCUGCUAUAAAUAUACUGACAGUGUAAAAUUUCAGGAGAGAGCUACACAAUUGCUUUAAAGGCUCAAAGCAUGAACCUUCUGUAGAAACUGCCAGAACUUUCUCACAUUCUAGUGGGUGAGCUUGUGAACCUCUCUCUACCCAACCCCUGGUUCUCCGUCCUUCCUCCCCGCCCCAGAAACUGCGAUGAAAUUAGUCUGUAAUGCUUUCAACACUCUCGUGGAUCGGUUUUCCUUCUCAGAGAAACAUAUGAAUGGUGUUAAAAUGUGCUUCCUGCUCGCACACAAUAUUACCCCAGAAUGCCAGAGAAACCCGCCGCUUCCUUCAGAUUCCAAUAGAUAUUAUCUUUAUUGAACAGCAUUGCCAACUUGAAAAGGUCAGCCAUCCAGGUCAGGGAUAUAUAUUCUUUAAGAAGUUUCCAGAACUACCUUUAAAAACUCAGUCCCAGGAGGAUUUCUCAAUGAGAAUCGAGGGCCUUGCAUUUCUUUCUUUCAAAAUUCUCUUGCCAAUGGUUUUUGUUUCGUUUUGUUUUGUUUUGGUUGGCUGGUUUUUAAUAAAACAAGUAAUAGGAUUCACAAUAGUCUUUCUUUCUGUGUCAUUUUCUUUUCAUUCUUCUAAAUUUUAAAAUUUCUGAAUUUAGAAAAAAAAACUAAAAAGAAAUUUUAAUUUCCUUUUAGGAUCUAAAAGGAGAGCUGCACAGUGCUCCUGUCAGAAACUGGGUGGGAAACUCACUGAUCAAGAAAGACAAGAACGGGCUGACUCUACAACCACAUCCCAAGACUCAAGCAGUCAAUGGAGAAUAGGCAAACCUCAUUUUAAAAGUGUUUCUUUGAGCUAC
rnacentral:lncRNA from 1 species